rnacentral:rRNA from 1 species
GACGAACGCUGGCGGCGUGCCUAAUACAUGCAAGUAGAACGCUGAAGAGAGGAGCUUGCUCUUCUUGGAUGAGUUGCGAACGGGUGAGUAACGCGUAGGUAACCUGCCUUGUAGCGGGGGAUAACUAUUGGAAACAAUAGCUAAUACCGCAUAACAAUAGGUGACACAUGUCAUUUAUUUGAAAGGGGCAAUUGCUCCACUACAAGAUGGACCUGCGUUGUAUUAGCUAGUAGGUGAGGUAACGGCUCACCUAGGCGACGAUACAUAGCCGACCUGAGAGGGUGAUCGGCCACACUGGGACUGAGACACGGCCCAGACUCCUACGGGAGGCAGCAGUAGGGAAUCUUCGGCAAUGGGGGCAACCCUGACCGAGCAACGCCGCGUGAGUGAAGAAGGUUUUCGGAUCGUAAAGCUCUGUUGUAAGUCAAGAACGAGUGUGAGAGUGGAAAGUUCACACUGUGACGGUAGCUUACCAAAAGGCGG